rfam:Chlorocebus sabaeus isolate 1994-021 chromosome 7, whole genome shotgun sequence.
GCCAGGCGUGGUGGUGCAUGCCUGUAAUCCCAGCUACUCAGGAGGCUGAGGCAGGAGAAUGGCGUGAACCCGGGAGGCGGAGCUUGCAGUGAGCUGAGAUCCGGCCACUGCACUCCAGCCUUACCAACGAGAGCCAAACUCUGUCUUANNNNNNNNNNUAAGACAGAGUUUGGCUCUCGUUGGUAAGGCUGGAGUGCAGUGGCCGGAUCUCAGCUCACUGCAAGCUCCGCCUCCCGGGUUCACGCCAUUCUCCUGCCUCAG